GCCUGGGUGGCUCAGUUGGUUAAGCAUCUGAUUUCAGCUCAGGUCAUGAUCUCAGGGUCCAGUCCGUGAGCUCGAGCCCCACGUCAGGCU
rnacentral:tRNA from 1 species